ACUGAGGGUGACCCAUGUUCUGACUUCCUUUUGAAGUCAUCAGGCCUCAUAAACAGAAUCAGACUUGAAUGCUUAAGUCAUCCCUUUCCUGUUUGUAGAAUACUACCCUAUUCCACUUUUUCCUGUUUGGAUGCUUUCUUACUUGUCCUGUUUGAUCCUUUUAACUCUUAUAAGUUUUCACUGAUGUAUGAGUUCCUCCUUUGUGCCAGGCAUUGUGGUAGGUACUAGGUCUACGUUGGAGUGUGGAAGGUUUUCAGAUCUCACAAAGCUUAGAAACUCAUGCAUCUGUUAAAUACAGGUCUGUGCAUUAGGCACGUGCAGGGGCUGUGGGCACAGAGAUGAAGAGUGAAUUCCAAAGAACUCAAACCUGUGUGGAGAAGUCAGAGAAAGGGUCACUGAUAAUGGUCCUAGGAGAGGCAAGGUGGUGUGAUAAAAGUCUGCACAGAGGAAGGGGCCCUCAGACCUGGGCAGGGUUUGGAAAUGUGUUGCUUUUGAUAAAUGAGUGAUUGGACAGCCCUCCUGGCAUUUGUUGGACAAGACUAGGUAUGCUACAUGACCAUCAGAAGGAAGAACUGCCCUACCCCACAUGCCCAUGCCAUCCUUUUUGAGAAACCCAGGUUUAAAUCCUGGCAGACAUAAUCCCGUGAGGUGACAAGACAGUCUUGAUAGUGAGGCACAUGCCUGCACACCUAGCCGUGUGCUUUCAUGCAGAGUUUAUUGGCCAUAAAGCUGACUUCAGUUUGACCUGCUUCUUCUGUCUGUCCAGUGAGUGAAAGGGAUGGUAUUUAUUAAUUUUUCUGGACCUAUAGUUUCCUUAGUGACAAGAGGCUUUGCUCCUUUGUAAUCUCUUAAUUGUGUUUCUCUCUCACACACACAAUUAAUACAUGCUUGUGAUUAAAAGUUCACACAGUAUAGAAAAAUGUAGCAUAUGAAACUGAGGUCUUCCUUUGCCUCCUUCUCCCACUCUUCUUCCUGAAAUCGAUCAUUAGCCAAUGCAAUGCUAACACCCCUCUCAGAUCCUUUCCUAUUCCGUUGGUGUGUAUAAUUUUAAAAAUGUGAUCACAUCAUUUAUGUUCUG
rnacentral:lncRNA from 1 species